rnacentral:lncRNA from 1 species
AGUUUAAGAAUUAGCCAAUGCAACUAAAUAUCCUAAUGUGGACUAUUCAACAACAAUUAUCCUAACUUUAGGAUCAUAUGAAUGUUCAGGCAUCUCUAUGUCAAAAACCAAUGGAUCAAAUCGACCAGGAAAGGAAACCAACCAACUAGUGCAAGACUUACAGAAGUGACCCAAUUACAAAAACUCAAUAAGACUUAGAAGCAAGAAAGGAGACGAGAACAAGACUAAUAUCAGAAAUUCACACAAACUUAGCCUC